UCGUUUCUUCGUUUUCUCAUUUCUCCGAGUUUUUUUGUUCCUAAAUCUUUUCUUCUCUCAUUGAUUCCUCGAUUUUUGUGAGGAUUCGAAGGGAUUCUUCACUUUUGAUCCGAAGGAAUUUGGAGAAAUGCUGGAUCGGGAAGCUUGAUUCUUCUGCGGUUUCGCGAUCGUCUUUAUUUUUCAGCUUUGUUUUUUUCGUGUGAUUUUGAUUUGACGCGUUCCGCGAGCUGAUUUACGCGGAGGUUACUGUUAUAUAGGCUUGAAUAGGCAUUUGAUUUGUGUUUUACUGAUUUUUGAUAAAGGAAUUCGAUCGAAUCGGGAUUUUGUUGCAAUCAUGACUCAGG
rnacentral:lncRNA from 1 species